rnacentral:rRNA from 1 species
CUGGUUGAUCCUGCCAAUAGUCAUAUGCUUGUCUCAAAGAUUAAGCCAUGCAUGUGUAAGUAUGAACUAAUUUAGACUAUGAAAUUGUGAAUGGCUCAUUAAAUCAGUUAUAGUUUGUUUAACGGUAUCUACUACUCGGAUAACCGUAGUAAUUCUAGAGCUAAUAUGUGCAACAAACCCUGACUUCUGGAAGGGAUGCAUUUAUUAGAUAAAAGUUCAACGCGGGUUAUGCCCGUUGCUCUGAUGAUUCAUGAUAACUCGAUGGAUCGCAAGGCCUUUGUGUCGGUGACGCAUCAUUCAAAUUUCUACCCUAUCAACUUUCAAUGGUAGGAUAGUGGCCUACUAUGGUAGUGAUAGGUGACAAAGAAUUAGGGUUCGAUUCCGGAAAGGUAGCCUGAGAAACGACUAGCACAUCCAAGGAAAGCAACAAGCGCGCAAAUUACCCAAUCCUGACACGGAGAGGUAGUGACAAUAAAUAACAAUACCGGGCUCUAUGAGUCUGCUAAUUGGAAUGAGUACAAUCUAAAUCCCUUAACGAAGAUCCAUUGGAGGGUAAGUCUAGUGCCAGUAGUCACGGUAAUUCUAGCUCCAAUAGCGUAUAUUUAAGUUGUUGCAGUUAAAAAGCUUGUAGUUGGAACUAGGGUUUGGUCGUCCAGUCCGUCUCACGGUGAGCACCGGUCUACUCGUCCCUACUGCCAGUGAUGCGCUCUUGGACUUAAUUGCUCGGGUUGUUCCUUCGGUGCUGUUACUUUGAAAAAAUUAGAAUGCUCAAAGCAGGCCUACACUUGUAUACAUUAGCAUGGGAUAACAUCAUAGGAUUUUGGUCCUAUUGUGUUGGCCUUCAGGAUCGGAGUAAUGAUUAACAGGGAUAGUCAGGGGCAUUCGUAUUUCAUAGUCAGAGGUGAAAUUCUUGAUUUAUGAAAGAUGAACAACUGUGUAAGCAUUUGCUAAGGAUGUUUUCAUUAAUCAAGAAUGAAAGUUAGGGGCUCGAAGAUGAUCAUAUAUCAUCCUAGUCUCAACCAUAAAUGAUGUCGACCAGGGAUCGGUGGGUGUUACUUUUAGGACUCCGCCGGUACCUUAUGAGAAAUCAAAGUCUUUGGGUUUUGGGGCGAGUAUGGUCGCAAGGUUGAAACUUAAAGGAAUUGAUGGAAGGGCACCACCAAGAGUGCAGCCUGCGACUUAAUUUGACUCAACACGGGGAAACUUACUAGGUCUAGACAUAGUAAGGAUCGACAGACUGAGAGCUCUUUCUUGAUUCUAUGGGUGGUGGUGCAUGGGCAUUCUUAGUUGGUGGAGCGAUUUGUCUGGUUAAUUUUGUUAAUGAAUGAGACCUCAGCCUGCGUGCUUCGUCCCCAGUGACGCGUGCUCGUUGUCCACUCAGACCUCGUCAGACUCCUCGCAUCGUUCGAUUGAUGCUCACGUCGUGACCUCAGGUCAGGCAGGAUCACCCGCUGAGUUUAAGCAUAUCAAUAAGUGGAGGAAAAGAAACUUACCAGGAUUCCCCUAGUAACGGUGAACGAAUCGAGAAGAGCCCAGCUUAAGAAUCGAGUGCCCCCGAUGAUCGAAUUGUAGUCUGAAAAAGUAUCCUUAACGGCAGACCGGGCCCAAGUCCCCUGGAAAGGGGCAUUGGAGAGGUGAGAGCCCCGUUGUGCCCAGACCCUAUCACACCACGAGGCGUUGUUCGCGAGUCGAGUUGUUUGGGAAUGCAGCCCCAAUCGGG